GGCUACUUCCCAUGUCCGUCGGCGUUGCCGACAACAUGCCCAGGUAGCCAAGACCUUCAAGGCUACGGUGCGUUGCGACGCACUGGUUGUUCUCUUUGCCAAGACGCUCACGGGCGUUCCCUUCCAUCCCCUUGGGGCAGUGACUGC
rfam:Thioalkalivibrio sulfidophilus HL-EbGr7, complete genome.